AUACCAGUGUAAUCUUAUAAUAUGUUCCAACACAGAAAACUCAUAUUAUAAGAUUACACUGGUAU